rnacentral:rRNA from 1 species
UACGAAGGGGGCUAGCGUUGUUCGGAAUCACUGGGCGUAAAGCGCACGCAGGCGGAUCGUUAAGUCAGGGGUGAAAUCCCGAGGCUCAACCUCGGAACUGCCUUUGAUACUGGCGAUCUUUGAGUCCGGGAGAGGUGAGUGGAACUCCGAGUGUAGAGGUGAAAUUCGUAGAUAUUCGGAAGAACACCAGUGGCGAAGGCGGCUCACUGGCCCGGUACUGACGCUCAGGCGCGAUAGCGUGGGGAUCAAACAGG